AACUCUCCCUUUACCCUACCCACCUGUAUGUGACGUAGCAGCCAUAACAGUUACCAGGUCAACUGUCCCAGUAUAAGCCCUUGUGUUCAAGUAACGCUUAUUUUUUCUUUUCUUUUUUUUUGCAGCGGAGAAAUAUUGGCUAUUUUAUUACAAACAGCACCACCCAGGAGAACUGGAAGCUAAUGCACAAAAACCUGAACUCCCCAAUAGUGUAUAGGUUACAGAUUAUAGAAGCAGCUGCAUCUGGCUCCGGGGCGGUCCCAGAGGAAAGGCUGCAGGGGCUUCAUCCCAGGCACGUCCUAGGAACUGAAGUUCUGCCUUUGCCGUUUUGAGGUGAUGCCUCAGGGCUUUUUCAGCUCAAACACACAUCCUCCAUUAUUCGGGAUGGCAAUAAUGAUCUUUGAGCUGGCUCUAGCUGCUCACACGAUCUCUCCAUCCUGACAAUGACCUGCAUCUCCGUCACCUCUGUGUCAUGAUGCCUGGACUAUAGCGCUGCUCCAAGCUGUGUGUGAUGAACAAUCCUCUGAGUCUGGUAGAGGUGACUCCUUUGACUCCUGGCUCUUUGACUCUUGGUCUUAAAAUUAAACUUACUUUCGGUGUGUUUAUUUUAAAUAAAUAUUAAUGUGCAAUUAAAC